GAAACCGUGUGCUUACAAGUAGUCAGAGCCCGUUAAUGGGUGAUGGCGUGCCUUUUGUAGAAUGAACCGGCGAGUUACGAUUUGAUGCAAGGUUAAGCAGUAAAUGUGGAGCCGUAGCGAAAGCGAGUCUGAAUAGGGCGUUUAGUAUUUGGUCGUAGACCCGAAACCAGGUGAUCUACCCUUGGUCAGGUUGAAGUUCAGGUAACACUGAAUGGAGGACCGAACCGACUUACGUUGAAAAGUGAGCGGAUGAACUGAGGGUAGCGGAGAAAUUCCAAUCGAACCUGGAGAUAGCUGGUUCUCUCCGAAAUAGCUUUAGGGCUAGCCUCAAGUGAUGAUUAUUGGAGGUAGAGCACUGUUUGGACGAGGGGCCCCUCUCGGGUUACCGAAUUCAGACAAACUCCGAAUGCCAAUUAAUUUAACUUGGGAGUCAGAACAUGGGUGAUAAGGUCCGUGUUCGAAAGGGAAACAGCCCAGACCACCAGCUAAGGUCCCAAAAUAUAUGUUAAGUGGAAAAGGAUGUGGCGUUGCCCAGACA
rnacentral:rRNA from 1 species